AUUGAACGCUGGCGGCAGGCCUUACACAUGCAAGUCGAACGGUAACAGGAAACAGCUUGCUGUUUCGCUGACGAGUGGCGGACGGGUGAGUAAUGUCUGGGUAACUGCCUGAUGGAGGGGGAUAACUACUGGAAACGGUAGCUAAUACCGCAUAACGUCGCAAGACCAAAGAGGGGGACCUUCGGGCCUCUUGCCAUCGGAUGUGCCCAGAUGGGAUUAGCUAGUAGGUGGGGUAACGGCUCACCUAGGCGACGAUCCCUAGCUGGUCUGAGAGGAUGACCAGCCACACUGGAACUGGGACACGGUCCAGACCCCUAAGGGAGGCAGCAGUGGGGAAUAUUGCACAAUGGGCGCAAGGCUGAUGCAGCCAUGCCGCGUGUAUGAAGAAGGCCUUCGGGUUGUAAAGUACUUUCAGCGGGGAGGAAGGGAGUAAAGUUAAUACCUUUGCUCAUUGACGUUACCCGCAGAAGAAGCACCGGCUAACUCCGUGCCAGCCGCCGCAGUAA
rnacentral:rRNA from 1 species